GUAGUUGUUUAGGGAUCCGUCAAAAAUUCUAUUUAAAGUGAAGAUCUGAGUGAUUUUCAUCAGUCUCCUUACCAUCUCUCACCGCCACCAUUCGUUUUACCUAGGGUUUGUUAUUUUCCUUAUGUUCUCUAUGUUUUAACCAUUUUCGAUCUACGUUGUCGUCGUCGUCCCCGUUGUUAUUGUAGGCAACACUACACCGUUGUUAAAACAUCUUGCUUCUGCAGUCGGGAAAUACUUUCCCUCCAUAUUAGGGGUGAGCAGGUACGGGGACGGGGCGGAGAUUGAGUUCCCCGUACCCGAUCAUUUUUACCAGGAAUGGGGAAAUCCCCGGUCCCAAAAAUCGUCCCCGACUGAAAUAUUAUUAUUAUUAUUAUUUAUUAUUAUUAUUAUUAUUAUUAUUAUUAUUAUUUUUAAAUAUACCUAAAACAGGACCUUGGAGAUGUUCGGUGGAUGGUGGCUAAGAACAAUGUAUAAGAUUAAGAACCUUGGAGUUGGAGAUGUUAUGGUGGGGACCUUGGAGUUGGAGAUGGUGGC
rnacentral:lncRNA from 1 species